UACGUAGGGGGCAAGCGUUGUCCGGAAUCAUUGGGCGUAAAGCGCGCGUAGGCGGCUCGAUAAGUCUGCUGUGAAAGUCAAAGGCUCAACCUUUGAAUGCCGGUGGAUACUGUCGAGCUAGAGUCCGGAAGAGGCGAGUGGAAUUCCUGGUGUAGCGGUGGAAUGCGCAGAUAUCAGGAGGAACACCAACGGCGAAGGCAGCUCGCUGGGACGGUACUGACGCUAAGGCGCGAAAGCCAGGGGAGCAAACGGG
rnacentral:rRNA from 1 species